UCCGGGGUAGCUCAACGGCAGAGCACUCGGCUUCGGACCGAGAGGGUGCUGGUUCAAAUCCAGCCCCCGGAC
rnacentral:tRNA from 1 species